rnacentral:rRNA from 11 species
AUAUUGUCCUGACAAGGCCUAUAUUAUGGAGAAUUGCGAAGGGUGGAAGGCAGGUGUGAUUUUGGAAGUUAAGCAGGGUCAACCCUAGUUAGUACUUGGAUGGGAAGCCUUCAAAGAAUACUAGGUG